rnacentral:rRNA from 1 species
UAGGGAAUCUUCCACAAUGGACACAAGUCUGAUGGAGCAACGCCGCGUGAGUGAAGAAGGCUUUCGGGUCGUAAAAACUCUGUUAUUGAAGAAGAACGUGUGUGACAGUAACUGGUCAUGCAGUGACGGCAUUCAAUCAGAAAGUCACGGCUAACUACGUGCCAGCAGCCGCGGUAAUACGUAGGUGGCAAGCGUUGUCCGGAUUUAUUGGGCGUAAAGCGAGUGCAGGCGGUCUUUUAAGUCUGAUGUGAAAGCCUUCGGCUUAACCGAAGAAGGGCAU